rnacentral:lncRNA from 1 species
GUCACUUAAUCCCCUUAGUGUUUGAUCCGUAGAUCAUUGUGUUUAAACAUGUGGGUCUAUUAUUAGCAAAAACUACACACAAACUUUAAAUAUCAUUCGAAGGGUUAAAAUUUUUGUCAUGUUUCACUCAUGAUGUGUUAGUAAGCAGUCACUCCAAACUCUGCAUUUUUUGUAAAACUAGUCCAUGAAUGAAGAUUUUAAAAGUGUUAGUUGUCUUGUUUCUAUGGAAACCAGCAGUAAUCUACACUGAUUACUGAACUCAGGGAAAGUAGAAUCAGAAGGUACCAUUAUGAAGAAGACACCUCUAUAAACUAUAAAGGUGGACACACCUGUUAUCUAAAUUAUGCGAUUUAUCCAGUUGAAGAGGCUUCUUGAUAGUUAAGAGAUUUACAUCAGCCUAUUUCACUGUGGCCAAAUGGAAAACGCAGAGGAUUCUUUACCAGCUGAGCUGCCUGGGAAGCCCACAGACCUGAUUCCCAGUAUCAAAAAGGUUGGGGACCACUGCUGCAAAGGAUCCAUUCAGAAAUAA